GACGAACGCUGGCGGCGUGCUUAACACAUGCAAGUCGAACGGAAAGGCCCUGCUUUUGUGGGGUGCUCGAGUGGCGAAAGGGUGAGUAACACGUGAGUAACCUGCCCUUGACUUUGGGAUAACUUCAGGAAACUGGGGCUAAUACCGGAUAGGAGCUCCUGCUGCAUGGUGGGGGUUGGAAAGUUUCGGCGGUUGGGGAUGGACUCGCGGCUUAUCAGCGUGUUGGUGGGGUAGUGGAUUACCAAGGCUUUGACGGGUAGCCGGCCUGAGAGGGUGACCGGCCACAUGGGGACUGAGAUACGGCCCAGACUCCUACGGGAGGCAGCAGUGGGGAAUAUGGCACAAUGGGCGGAAGCCUGAUGCAGCAACGCCGCGUGCGGGAUGACGGCCUUCGGGUUGUAAACCGCUUUCGCCUGUGACGAAGCGUGAGUGACGGUAAUGGGUAAAGAAGCACCGGCUAACUACGU
rnacentral:rRNA from 1 species